rnacentral:rRNA from 1 species
GAGGAUGCGAGCGUUAUCCGGAUUUAUUGGGUGUAAAGGGAGUGUAGGCGGGACGGCAAGUUAGGUGUGAAAUGCGGAGGCUCAACCUCCGAGCUGCACUUAAAACUGCUGUUCUUGAGUGAAGUAGAGGCUGGCGGAAUUCCCAGUGUAGCGGUGAAAUGCGUAGAUAUUGGGAGGAACAUCAGUGGCGAAGGCGGCCAGCUGGGCUUUUACUGACGCUGAGGCUCGAAAGCGUGGGGAGCAAA